ensembl:misc_RNA Vault Vault RNA
GGACUGGCUCUAUCUCAGGGGUUCCUUCGAUAAAGUGUUAGCUUUUAAUCUCCCCUGCGGGGGUGGUUUGAGACCUAAGGGCACUCUCUAGUUCUUAG